GAGCUUUGGCAGCACAUAUACUAAAAUUGGAACAAUACAAAAAGAUGAGCAUGGCCCCUGCCUAAGGAUGACACAUAAAUUCAUAAAGCAAUAAGUUAAAACU
ensembl:snRNA U6 U6 spliceosomal RNA